UGAGGAAUAUUGGUCAAUGGACGAGAGUCUGAACCAGCCAAGUAGCGUGCAGGAAGACGGCCCUAUGGGUUGUAAACUGCUUUUAUAGGGGAAUAAAGUGAGCUACGUGUAGUUUAUUGCAUGUACCCUAUGAAUAAGGACCGGCUAAUUCCGUGCCAGCAGCCGCGGUAAUACGGAAGGUUCAGGCGUUAUCCGGAUUUAUUGGGUUUAAAGGGAGCGUAGGCUGGAGAUUAAGUGUGUUGUGAAAUGUAGACGCUCAACAUCUGAAUUGCAGCGCAUACUGGUUUCCUUGAGUACGCACAACGUUGGCGGAAUUCGUCGUGUAGCGGUGAAAUGCUUAGAUAUGACGAAGAACUCCGAUUGCGAAGGCAGCUGACGGGAGCGCAACUGACGCUUAAGCUCGAAGGUGCGGGUAUCAAACAGGAUUAGAUACCCUGGUAGUCCGCACAGUAAACGAUGGAUGCCCGCUGUUGGUACCUGGUAUCAGCGGCUAAGCGAAAGCAUUAAGCAUCCCACCUGGGGAGUACGCCGGCAACGGUG
rnacentral:rRNA from 1 species